GGGCCGAUAGCUCAGGGGUAGAGCGGAUGGUUUACACCCAUCGACAGCGGGGGUUCGAUCCCCUCUCGGCCCACCA
rnacentral:tRNA from 1 species